rnacentral:rRNA from 1 species
ACAGCAAUAUGAAGGUCAGGCUGAAGACCUUACCCGAUUAGCUGAGAGGUGGUGCAUGGCCGUCGUCAGUUCGUACUGUGAAGCAUCCUGUUAAGUCAGGCAACGAGCGAGACCCACGUCCACAGUUGCCAGCAUACCCUCCCGGGGCGAUGGGUACACUGUGGAGACCGCCGCUGCUAAAGCGGAGGAAGGAGUGGGCAACGGUAGGUCAGUAUGCCCCGAAUCUCCCGGGCUACACGCGGGCUACAAUGGUUGGUACAAUGGGCAUCUACCCCGAAAGGGGAAGGAAAUCUCUUAAAGCCAAUCGUAGUUCGGAUUGAGGGCUGCAACUCGCCCUCAUGAAGCUGGAAUCCGUAGUAAUCGCGUUUCAACAGAGCGCGGUGAAUACGUCCCUGCUCCUU